rnacentral:rRNA from 1 species
GAUGAACGCUAGCGGCAGGCCUAAUACAUGCAAGUCGAGGGGUAGAAGAGGCUUGCUUCUUUGAGACCGGCGCACGGGUGCGUAACGCGUAUGCAACCUACCUUCAUCUGGGGGAUAGCCCGGAGAAAUCCGGAUUAAUACCGCAUAAAAUCACAGGAUGGCAUUAUCCAAUGAUCAAACAUUUAUGGGAUGGAGAUGGGCAUGCGUGUCAUUAGCUAGUUGGCGGGGUAACGGCCCACCAAGGCGACGAUGACUAGGGGAUCUGAGAGGAUGGCCCCCCACACUGGUACUGAGACGCGGACCAGACUCCUACGGGAGGCAGCAGUAAGGAAUAUUGGUCAAUGGAGGCAACUCUGAACCAGCCAUGCCGCGUGCAGGAAGACAGCCCUAUGGGUUGUAAACUGCUUUUAUUCGGGAAUAAACCUUAUUACGUGUAAUAAGCUGAAUGUACCGAAGGAAUAAGGAUCGGCUAACUCCGUGCCAGCCGCCGCGGUAA